CACAGAACAAAUCAAUCAGAACACUAAGCAACCCUGAAAUACUGUGCUUGAUCACUUUCUAUAAUCCGCUGUAACGUGCUCCUAAACAUACAGACCUCUUAGUGUAUUUAAAAUGAUUCAGUUUACUAAAGCAUAAUAAAAAACUUCUUGAGAAUCCACAGUUAAGAUGGCAGGUGUCCUCAUCUGUAUGUGCUGCACCAACAACAUUCUUGGAAGGGAGCGGUCCUACCAAACGACGACAGUCCUGAAAUAGAUGUGGAAUCCACUGAUGCAGCACACAGGGGAAUGCCACCGGAAGCUCUGAUCAAAGGGGACUGUGAGCUCCAGAAUUCCUGAUUGCGUUCAUCACAGAUGCCAAGUCUGUCAAAUUCUAAAGCAGGAAGUCAAUGGAUCAACCAGAAGGUGGCCCAGAAGAAAGCCUUCACCAGAACGUGAGCAUGCUGGCACCCUGAUCUCAGACCUCCAGUCUCGAGAACACUUCUCAGAGUCAAAAACAUCAACACAAGACUGAAGACAAAAAAAACGGAUUUUGAGCAGUUGCCCUCGGAACUACGGAAUUUAAACAGUUUGUCAAAUGUUGAUGCAUCAGACUUUUUGAUCUUCAUGAGGUUCUAUGAAGAAGAACGAAAAAAGUAUUCUAUUUUUAAAAAUGGCUCUUGAGUGAAGAUUCGUUAGAGAAAUCCUAUUUUCCUGUAGACUUUUAUUAUCAACUCAAUGAUGCAGAUUUCCCAGAAACCAAGUGCACGUAUUAGAAAACAUUGGCAAGGAGGUGGCCAGACCCAGAGCCCCCUGCAGGAUCACAGGCUAAUGACUGCCUGUGAGGUCUUCAGAGUAUCUGGCCCCAGUAGGAUUUUGCCAGUCUGGGCUUUCUGUGUCCUCUGGUAGGCUUCCUGCUGCUUCAUCUUCUAAAGCCAUAGGAGUUGGGGCUGAACCUGGCUUAGCAGGAUUCCAGGAUUCCUUGACCCCAGGCUCCCAGCUCCCAGCUCUUAGCCUCCCUCUAGCUCACUAGUUCCGGGAUUUAUGAUCCACUGCUGCUUAAAGUUUGUCCCACUCUGGAAGCUUCUAAAGAAGGGACUUCUGGCUACAGUAAACAAGAACGGAAUGCACUGUGAGAGAAAUAUUCUCCCAGCAUUCUAGACAAGGAGCCUAAUGCUCAGUCACUUGUGUGGCAGCAUCGAAAAUACUCAGUAAUCUCCAUAGAAAGCAAGGUCUUCAUCUCCUGUGAGUUUUGGCGAGUGGAGUCUCCCAUCUCAGAAACUAAAUCUGGUCAACUGAUGUUGAAAUGACUAAAGAUAUGAAAAGGUGAAAACACUUGCUGGUUGGAUUCUUGAAAACUUCAAGAAUUUUUAGAGAAGAAUUUUUUAAAACACAGUUUAUAUAAAUCAGAGGCCUUAAAACUAUUCUCCUAUGUCCAUUAAGGAACACAGAAAUCACAGAUUCUGAACAUAAUUCAAUGUUGAACGAUUCAAUUAAAUUUGAUUCAAACGUUUGGACUACAUGGCCCCCAUUUGACAAUGGAAGACUGGGACAAAAGACAUGCAGCAGAUCCUGAUGGAGCAACCUCAAGUGCCGGCCAAGCCCCUCCUGCUCCUCCUCUGCAUUAGGAAUUCUGCAAAUGAGUGAUGGUUCACAGGGGGCUCGAUCACAGAAAAGCAGUUGUUGAUCUUUGGCUGCCUGCAGGCCUGCAAUCUGUGCUACAAGUUUAUCCCUCCCAGAAAAAGCAAAAUAAAGAAGGACGAGACAAGAGGAUGGAACCAAUACAAGCAUCUGUAACAAGCUAAUUGGACCCUUGUGGGCCACCAGCAAGCACGAAACUAAAACAAACAGAGCCUCACAUUGUGCACCUUCAGGACCAGAUCCAUCCUGGGUCUGUCAGCUUUUCCCCUGCCUCCUCCCCUGACCCCCAUUUUUAAAGGACCUAAUUAUGGCUCUUUCCAAAGGAUCACAAGCCAGUUUUCAUCUAAAAAGAAUAAGGUAUUAUGCCUCCGAACUGGAGACACUGUUAGAAGUUGGUAAUUAGUAUGACUUGUUAAUAGAGUUUGGCUGUGAUUAAGCAGUGAUUGAGCGCGAGUUUGGUGCCUGUCAGUGGGGAAGCCUGAGGAGGGUGAGAGAUGUUUAAUGAGACACCUGUUGUUGGGGGUCCACUGGGGUUUGUUGCAGCUGAUUGGCACUUGGAUGCAGUGCGCUCGGUGCUGGGGGCUGGGCUGAGCCUGGCAGGUGGUUGGCACCAGAGCGGAGCUCGCCGCUCCCAGCAAGUCAGGGCUGGCUGAGUUUUCCGAGCUGUCUGUCCACGGCUGCAGCCACAUGUUCCCACAUGAUCUAGGUGGUGGGCUGACUGACUGUGCGCCAACCCCCAGCGGGCACUGCCCCUACUCUGCAAGAGGAAGAUCUCCAGGUCCCCCGUGACCCUCGCUCCCAACCAAGCACCGGGCGGGGCAUUGGGCACUCCUCCUCUCAUCCAGCCUCUCCUGUCCCCAGUGUAUAGCUGGGGAAACUGAGGCAAGGGAGGUUAAAUAGUUUGCCUAAGCUCACAGCCACCUCCAGGGCCCGAUGCACUGUAUGCAGAGCCAGCACCUCUCAAACCUUAAAAUGAUCCCUGGGGAGUGUGUUAAAACGCAGAGUCUGAGAGAGUAGGUCUUGGGUGGGGCUGGAGAGACCACCUUCCUAAGAGCUUCCCGGCAGUGCCCAUACUUUGAAUGAAGUCGGCAGGGUACUUCCUUGUACUAGAGUCACACAGAACCCCCUAAGAGAGAGAUGCUUAUCGUGCAUUUCAAUUUUAUGACUAGACCACAUCUUGCCUUUUGGAAGGGACAUACAUAGUAGUAAUAUACCUCAUCUUUGCCCAGAAACAGAGCCUGAUGCUAGAGAUGUUGGGGAACUCUCUAUCUAAGGGUGUAGUGUGUGGUGGAUGGGGCAAGUGG
ensembl:lncRNA